rnacentral:rRNA from 1 species
CUCUGUGACUCCUACGGGGAGGCAGCAGUGGGGAAUAUUGCACAAUGGGGGAAACCCUGAUGCAGCCAUGCCGCGUGUGUGAAGAAGGCCUUCGGGUUGUAAAGCACUUUCAGUAGGGAGGAAGGUAGUGUAGUUAACACCUGCAUUAUUUGACGUUACCUACAGAAGAAGCACCGGCUAACUCCGUGCCAGCAGCCGCGGUAAUACGGAGGGUGCGAGCGUUAAUCGGAAUUACUGGGCGUAAAGCGCAUGCAGGCGGCCUGUUAAGUCAGAUGUGAAAGCCCGGGGCUUAACCUCGGAAUUGCAUUUGAAACUGGCAGGCUAGAGUCUUGUAGAGGGGGGUAGGAAUUUCAGGUGUAGCGGUGAAAUGCGUAGAGAUCUGAAGGAAUACCAGUGGCGAAGGCGGCCCCCUGGACAAAGACUGACGCUCAGAUGCGAAAGCGUGGGGAGCAAACAGGAUUAGAUACCCCUGGUAG